AACGAACGCUGGCGGCAGGCCUAACACAUGCAAGUCGAGCGCGCCCUUCGGGGUGAGCGGCGGACGGGUGAGUAACGCGUGGGAACGUGCCCUUUUCUACGGAAUAGCCUCGGGAAACGGAGAGUAAUACCGUAUACGCCCUUUGGGGGAAAGAUUUAUCGGAAAAGGAUCGGCCCGCGUUGGAUUAGGUAGUUGGUGGGGUAAUGGCCUACCAAGCCGACGAUCCAUAGCUGGUUUGAGAGGAUGAUCAGCCACACUGGGACUGAGACACGGCCCAGACUCCUACGGGAGGCAGCAGUGGGGAAUCUUAGACAAUGGCGGCAACCCUGAUCUAGCCAUGCCGCGUGAGUGAUGAAGGCCUUAGGGUUGUAAAGCUCUUUCAGCUGGGAAGAUAAUGACGGUACCAGCAGAAGAAGCCCCGGCUAACUCCGUG
rnacentral:rRNA from 1 species